GGAGCGAUGGCGUAGUUGGUUAUCGCAUCUGUCUAACACACAGAAGGUCCCCAGUUCGAGCCUGGGUCGCUUCA
rnacentral:tRNA from 1 species